UACGGAGGGUGCAAGCAUUGAUCGGAAUUACUGGGCGUAAAGGGCGCGUAGGCGGUAUUAUAAGUCAGACGUGAAAUUCCGGGGCUCAACCCCGGAGCUGCGUUUGAAACUAUAGAACUAGAGUACAGUUAGGGUAAACGGAAUUCCACGUGUAGCGGUGAAAUGCGUAGAUAUGUGGAAGAACACCGGUGGUGAAGACGGUUUACUGGGCUGAAACUGACGCUGAGGCGCGAAAGCAUGGGGAGCAAACAGG
rnacentral:rRNA from 1 species